rnacentral:rRNA from 1 species
CUAACGGGUGAGUAAUGCGUGACCAACCUGCCCCAUGCUCCAGAAUAGCUCUUGGAAACGGGUGGUAAUGCUGGAUGCUCCAACUUGACGCAUGUCUUGUUGGGAAAGUGUUUAGUGGCAUGGGAUGGGGUCGCGUCCUAUCAGCUUGUAGGCGGGGUAAUGGCCCACCUAGGCUUCGACGGGUAGCCGGCCUGAGAGGGCGGACGGCCACAUUGGGACUGAGAUACGGCCCAGACUCCUACGGGAGGCAGCAGUU